rnacentral:lncRNA from 1 species
ACCCUUCUGCGUUGAUUGGGGUGGAGAGAUCCCUCGACUAUAGGAGUUUGUUGAUUAGGAUUAGUUUUAUGUAUGAGUAUCCAUUUCCAGCCUUGCUCUAAAGAUUGGGGGUUUGCUCUAGAUCUCAACGGUUCCUUAAUGGGAAUAGCCAUCGACACCUUAAUUAGCCGUGAUUAGAUCGCUAUAAUACCUCACAAGGUUGGAAUGCAAAGAUCAAUUGGUUGCAAUGGAGACUCCAGAGAUUCAGGGACAUCUUACUUUCGUCUCUGAUUUGCUGUUUCAUAUUUGUGUCUCCAUGUGCUCCUCUUUUAUUGAUCCUCCUGAUAUAAGCUGAAAAUGUAAGUUUCUAACACCUUUGUUGAACGUAAUCCAUGCGUUUUUUAUUCUAAAAAAAAAAAAAGAGAGAAAAGUAUACCUAAGAGAUUGAUAGCAAAGUAUUGAUUGAAGGAUUUUUGCAGCACACACUAAACCUAAG